GAGCACGUAGGGGGGUUUGUAAGUCAGAUGUGAAAGCCUUCUGUUCAACGGGAGAAUUGCAUCUGAAACUGCUAAUCUUGAGUAUAGGAUGGGAGAAUGGAACUUCUGGUGGAGCGGUGAAAUGCGUAGAUAUCAGAAGGAACGCCGGCGGCGAAAGCGAUUCUCUGGCCUAUUACUGACACUCAGUGUGCGAAAGCUAGGGAGCAAACGGGAUAGAUACCCCGUAGCAGCCU
rnacentral:rRNA from 1 species